GGAAUCGCGCCCGACCUACACACACCGGGGAGAAGUCCCCGUCCCUCGUCUCGCUUCGCGGAGUCGCGAGGUCGAGCAGCAGAGCGCCGCCACCGCCUGCCGAUCUCCUCCGACGAUCUCGCGACGGCCGUUCUCCUCCGCCGGUGUCCCUGCAGCCACUUCAUCCUUCGUAUCAGAUCCUACUGAAGAAGUCUUGCGAUUAGGAGCAGAUCACAAGUGAGCGGGAGAUCUGACACAGGCACUCCUCUUCCUCUUCCCUGGCCCUUCCUAGGUCGACCUCGUGUUCCAGUUAGCAGAGUCUGAUAGUUAGCAGUCUGUCUCCAUCCAAUCCAUCCAUGUGAGUACACUACACACUUAUUCAGCAAGCUAAGUCAGGCCGAAUAGGAAUAACAGACGACCCUCCUGCUCAAGGAAGCCACCAAGAUCAUAAUUUUUUGCUGCCUGUCAUAUGCAGACUUUGGCUCUUAUAAGUUCCCGGUACAAUUUUUCUGAAAAGUGCUCAGCGGAUGUGCGAUAUAAAAACUAAAGAAAAAUCAGCUUGUUCCCUGCGUGCUUCUGCUUCUGCUGCUACGGGUCCUGCAAGUGCAGCCUCGACCUUGAGUUCCUCUGAUAACUGCUAAUUGAAGACUUGAGAUCGAUCGUAGAGACAAAUUUGUUAUGUCCUAUAUUGUUAUGGUUUAUUAUCCUUGUCAUGGCUCAAAUGGUUGAGUACUUUAAUCAGUAGAAUUUUUCAUGAAUUUUUCAAGCAUUUUAUCCUGCUGUGUGAUGGAUGGAUGGGACAUGUUGGGAUUUGAUGAAUGGAAACUCUUGCUUGCAAUGCAACGGUUGAGAAUGAAUUGAAUAUUAUUUUGUA